rnacentral:rRNA from 1 species
UACGUAGGGUGCAAGCGUUGUCCGGAAUUAUUGGGCGUAAAGAGCUCGUAGGCGGUCUGUUGCGUCGGCUGUGAAAACCCGGGGCUCAACCCCGGGCCUGCAGCCGAUACGGGCAGACUAGAGUUCGGCAGGGGAGACUGGAAUUCCUGGUGUAGCGGUGAAAUGCGCAGAUAUCAGGAGGAACACCGGUGGCGAAGGCGGUGGUCUGGGCCGGAACUGACGCUGAGGAGCGAAAGCGUGGGGAGCAAACAGG